GCACUCGUAGUUCAGCGGUCAGAGCACUGCCCUGUCAAGGCAGAAGUCGCGGGUUCGAAUCCCGUCGGGUGCGC
rnacentral:tRNA from 1 species